UUAACUACAGAGUCCACACCAGCCUAACCCUAGUUACCUUUCUCCCAUCUCCCGUACCAACCAUAGCCGCCGCCACUUCACCUUCCUCCUCUCGCCACUACAUGUCGGCGCCGACGCCGAUGGCGCCGGCCCUGAACCACACCGCGUCGAGCCCCUCCACAUCUAUCCCGCCCGGGACCCCUCCCCAUUCCACGCCUCUUCCCAUUCAGAUCGGCCCCUUGAGUUAUUGCAUCCCAGUCAUACCCCUCGAUCUGAGGCUGCAGCGGUGGCGGGGGGACCAACUGCCGGAUUUGGACGGCCCUGAGGUCGCUGGCGGCGUGCAUUGAUCCAGCUCCAUCUGGCGGCGAGCUGAGGUGAGGUACAGCCGUACAGGAGGUGGCAACACAUCCACAGAUGCAGAGUACAUCGGCGAUCUGUGGCUCGGUCCAAUUGUCCGUCAGCCGCCCCAUCGUCCCUCCCCUCAUCGUCGCGGUCGUCUUCUCCAUCGGUGGUGCGCAGCCUCCUCUAUGCGUCGUCGUUCACCUUCUCCAGCCGGAAAGACCCAAGGAGUACAGAGUACCACCUGGACGAGCAAAACUCUUGGGGCAAAACACCGGCCAUGGAUUUAUCUAGCCGUACCUGUUAAAGGAUGGCUGGAGGCCUCGUUGGCCAUGUUGAACCAGUACAGAGAAAACGUCUGGGCGUCUGCCUUGUUCGACAUUAAAACGAACAGCAAGGGCAGGAGCACCACUGAGGGUUACUCGUUCGUUACUGAUUGUUUGUGCUUUGUUCCUUCCUAGUCACAUCGUGAAGCACAUUCAUUUUUUGUACUGCAAACAAAAAGUAUUAGGCAAAUCUCCGUUCUUGUUGCAGUUCAAGCAUUGUGUUGUAGUUGUACACUUAUAAUUCAGAGUAAUGGCCUGCAAGAUUUAUCCUGUCAGCUUUUAGUAUUAAGAAACUCAUACCAUUUUAUAUCUAACUGAAGAAAAACUCAUAUCUGCAAAUUCUGUAGGUACAUUUUACUGCAGUGUCCAAUGUUUCUGCAUGCACAUAAUGGUGAUGGAUCCCACAUCGGUUAGUGCAUCUAAUGGUCUUUGUACAGCUAAAAACAUUUUUCACUUGGUGAUGAUAUCUGCACUGCCCUUGCCUGCAUAAUUUGAAUAUCUCACAUGGACUGGAAACAUUUUUUUACUUGGUGAUGAUAUCUGCACAGCCCUUUCCUGAACAUGCCCUUUAUGUUAUUCAUACACUUUACUCAAGCAUCUACUUGCCCUUAUGUUCUGCUAGGGCUCAAUGUUUACUGGAAGUAAGCUUGACUGACAAUACACGUAAUUCAAUGCUUGUUCUUCUAACUAAAAAUUCAGUUCAUGAUUCUGGUCCUAUACUUACUGAAAUGAUUACUAUAGAGGUCACAAAGCUUUCAAAUUCAAGAAUAAGGAGAGUAUUUUCUGUUUUCUUUCCGCCAAUUUCUUUUCAUAUAAAUAUGACAUUUAUUGUUUAUAGUUAAUGGGCUUGUUUUAGCUAUGCAGUUUUCAACCUAUAUGAUUUCUGGUUAUUGGAUAAUAAACUUUCAUGUAGCUCUCGACUGCCCACACAUGUAGCUGUACAAUUUAAUCUCUAGAUACAUCAUACAUGCAAAUUCUUUAUCUCCCUGUCUCCUUCUAUAGGUACCUAAAAUACUUGACAAAGAAGCGAAAUCACAAACAAGCCGCUUGAAGUUCCAUGUGCUGUGUCAAAUCUUUUUUUUUUGUACAAUGGAUCAAAACUCAUAGUGCUCUAAUUCCUGUGAAAUGCUUUGUGCCAAAAUCAUAUAAUUGCAAUGUACUUAACUGCUUCUUAGCGACUUGAAAAGGCAACAAUCUUGAAAAAUCGAAUGAAGAAGAUAACAUUUAUUUUGUGGUGCACCCAUUUUUCUUGUUGUGCACAGGUAGAUAGAUGACUAGUUACUCUAGAUUUAUUUCGGAGCUCGCUGUAUUACUUAUAUAGUUUUGUAUGUGUUUUGGAUUUUAUGCCAAUUUCUAGCAGGAAUUACUUGGGUCUGAAUAGCUUCCUGAAAGCAUUGGUGGUGUAUUGUUGGAGAUUAAAAUCAGUUAGCAGCGCAUAUUUUAAUGGUAGUCAUGUUACUUGAUUUUUUUAUAAAAUGCUUAUAGUGAUUUCUAGGUAUGCAUGUGUCGUUUUGAUAUUAGUGGAAGACUGAAAAUAUGCUUCACGUCAGACAUGUUGACUGAAAUAUACAUAUUUAAUAAUAUUUCAUGUUCUUUGUUUCAGUAGGACAUUUAUUUCAACGAUCUUAGUAAAGAUUUGUUCUAUCCACAUAUAGUAACUCAUUGAUGCUCUAAUUUUCCAGGAUAGAUAUUCCCCCAACCAUCUCACUCUUAAUAUUUAUAUUUGAUUUAUUUUUGUGUUCUUUCUGCAUGCCAAAUCCUUUUCUGCCUGCUGCUAAAAUGUGCAUGUUAAUUGAAAUAUCUGAUGUUGCUGUAUAUUGUUCCUUGCACUUGUCAUUUCUUUGCGGGUGAGCUAAUUAGUGUCAUUUUAAAUAGAGGAUUGUCUGAAUGUUUCCCAUAAUAGAUUUCUCAUGUCGAUAGUUCUCACAUUUUUUUUGCUAUUAUUUUGUAGGUAAUUGAGAUAGAAUAGAAGACACUUGAGUUUGGUUUAGAAGGGUUACUCCACUUGGAUAGGAUAGUGAUACUACUGUCAACACGAUGCACAUAUUAUGUGUAUCUUAAUGUCCAGUGUGACUGAUUUGUAAUUUUAAUAUGUUAUUUUGAUCAGAAUUUUGUAUUGUGCACUCCAAUAUUGUUUUUUUGCUAAAUAGAGAUUA